UACGUAGGGUGCGAGCGUUGUCCGGAAUUAUUGGGCGUAAAGAGCUCGUAGGCGGUCUGUCGCGUCGGUCGUGAAAACUUGGGGCUUAACCCUGAGCUUGCGGUCGAUACGGGCAUGACUGGAGUUCGGCAGGGGAGACUGGAAUUCCUGGUGUAGCGGUGAAAUGCGUAGAUAUCGGAAGGAACGCCGGCGGCGAAAGCGGUCUGCUGGACCCUCACUGACGCUGAGGCGCGAAAGCCAGGGGAGCAAACGGG
rnacentral:rRNA from 1 species